AAAAAAAAAAGAGGAAAAAAAAAAGCAGCGAGAGCCCCUACCUCUGUCUGCCUGCGCGCACCCAGCGCGGAGCGCUCCGCCCGCCGCCGCCCGGGCACUUUUUCGCUCGCAAAAGAAAAAAAAAAGAAAAAAAAAAAAGGAAAAAAGCCGCCGACCCUCCCCCAAGUUGCAAUUCGCAUCUUCCCGAUCCUCCCGCUGCCGCUGGGCGCCGCGCCGGGCUCCGCUGCCCCCGUCCGCUCCCGGCGCGGCGGCGGCGGGCGGAGCGGAGCGGCGCGGGGGGAGGCUUAAGUUUUUGUGCGGGGCUCGCGGUGGCGUUGAAGGUGGAUCUCCGGCAGCGCAGCCCGGCGGCGGCGGAGGCGGGCAGGGAUGCGGCGCUGAGGCGGCGCGGUGCGCUGCGGGGCUGCCGGCGGCCGGGCCGGGCCGAGCCGGGCGGCAGUGGUACGUGUGUGCAACUUGAGACCAGCCAGUUGGAGAUGUUUGAAUCUCAGAUUUUCCAUAAACAUCCCUUCCUGCGGCGAGACCCCCGCGCACCCAGGCUAUGAAAACAGUCCCCUCCGGGCAGAGGUUCUUCUAAUUCCCUCAAUGUGAGGGGGAGAAGUUUGUAAUGAAGCGUUGAGAGGACCUUCAGCAUCGGAGUUGUGAGUUUGGCUGCCCACGAACGUGGAUCGAUACUGGCGGUAUGCAUGCCGGCUCCUGUGAGUUUGCCUGAGUUCCCGGGGGACUGCUUUGCUUUUUGAAUCAGAAAGUUGGAAACUACCAUCAAGAAUGGCACUUGUAGAUAAACACAAAGUCAAGCGGCAGCGACUGGACAGAAUUGUGAAGGUAAGAGGAUAUUCCGGCAUUCCUAUGAAAGUUGACGGACUGUUGUAGUAGAAUUACUUCACUUGUCCUUGUUUUUUACAGCACUUAGAAACUGAGAUCCAGGUCCAUGGCUACAUCUCCCAUCUUCUGGGUUGACACAAACUACAGUCGUAUUGGUGUUGAAGUAUUGGCAAGGGACACACUGAUUCCACUCAUUCCUCCCUACAGUCGUGUUCACAGACUGUUUAAUUACUCAGUGCCAUGUCCCACACCUCUGGUAUGAACCCUGCCCUGCUGCCCUUGGGGUGUUUGGGUAAAGCUCAGGGUUCUCCACUCCCAC
ensembl:lncRNA